rnacentral:rRNA from 1 species
CCUACGGGUGGCAGCAGUGGGGGAUAUUGCACAAUGGGGGGAACCCUGAUGCAGCGACGCCGCGUGGGUGAAGGAGCGUUUCGGCGCGUAAAGCCCUAUCGGCAGGGAAGAAGGAGGACGGUACCUGACUAAGAAGCCCCGGCUAACUACGUGCCAGCAGCCGCGGUAAUACGUAGGGGGCAAGCGUUAUCCGGAUUUACUGGGUGUAAAGGGAGCGUAGACGGUGAGACAAGUCUGAAGUGAAAGCCCGGGGCUCAACCCCGGGACUGCUUUGGAAACUGCCUGACUGGAGUGCUGGAGAGGCAAGCGGAAUUCCUAGUGUAGCGGUGAAAUGCGUAGAUAUUAGGAAGAACACCAGUGGCGAAGGCGGCUUGCUGGACAGUAACUGACGUUGAGGCUCGAAAGCGUGGGGAGCAAACAGGAUUAGAUACCCUUGUAGUC